UGCCUCCUUUUCUUCUUUUACUAUGGAAAUCAAAAUAAAAUUAGAAAAUUUGGACAGCAUAAGGAGUAGAUGGCUGGUGGUUGCUUAAAGCCUAUCCAAAGGAGGAGAGAUUCUAUAUCAAAUAGAAAGAAUGAUAUAUAGAAUAAAAUUAUGGGAAAAAUACCACCUUAACCCUAGCCCUAUCCCUAUUUAAGGAUCCUAAAACACCAGCAAGAGGAGGAGGAGAAUCAUCUUUGAAAGCUAGAAAUCAAGCAAGGAGAGUUUGGAGUAUUUGGA
rnacentral:lncRNA from 1 species